AAAAAUUGGGGAAGUUUGUCUGUGUGUGUGUGUGUGUGUGUGUGUGUGUGUGUGUGUUUGUGUGUGUGUGUGUGAGAGAGAGAGAGAGAGAGAGCAAGAGAGAGAGAGAGAGAGUAAGUGUAUGUGUGUGUGUGUGUAUGAACGUGUAUGAGUGAGUAAGUGUGUGUGUGUGUGUGUGUGUGUGUGUGUGUGUGUGUGUGUGUGUGUGUGAAUGUAUACGAGUCAGUAAGUGUGUAGGCUACAUAUGAGUGAGUGUGUGUUUGUGCGUGUUGGUGUGUGUGUGUGAGUGCAUGAGAGUGUCUUUGUGUACGUGGGUGUUUGUGUCUACAUUUUGGAGGAAGGGCCAUUUCUGUCUGACAACAUUACAUUGCACACACAGUGCAGGCCGUUAUUGCUUAACUUCUCACUGAGAGGACAAGACAAGAGACAGACAGAGCGGCCACUAUUACAGACAACACUAAGAGCUACAAGAGCCGGCUGCGCCUCAAAAUGUCCGUUUGGAAGACCAUACACUGGUGGAUGUUAAUUUGUCUGCUCGAUCACAUUGAAGGCGGCACAAAGAUCACCCUCCUCGGCCCUCGGACGCGUAUAGUCCUCGCGGGGCACGACCUCAAACUCAAUUUCAACAUUACAUUACCGCCGAACACCACCAUGGACAACCUGAGGUGCUACAACAGCGACGGGCAUGUGUACUCGUACAAAUCGAAAGAAGAGGAACAGGAGGUGCUGCUUCGCUUCACCGACAGCCGCCAGUCCGGCGUGUACCACUGCAAGUGCAAACAUGCCAUCGUGUACCUGGCCGUACUUGUGCGUGACAAGGGCUUUGAAGAGACGUACCACGGUCUAGGGGAUGAGGUCGUCGCCCCUGUGGCCAUCCUGACUGUGCUACUUGUCAUCUUCAGCACUCUAGGAUCUGUUUACAUAUGCAAGAGCCAGGCUGCUCAUGGAGACCAGGGUGACAGAAGCGUGAGGGUUGUCACAGGGAGGGCCAGUCAGGAAGGAGACUCUGGGGGCCAGGAAGGAAAUGAUGAGGAAGAGGCCGCUGACAACUCUGUGUACACGACCCUGGAGUCUCGCCCGGCAUCGAUUUAUGAAGUGUUGGAUCCAUCAGCGUCAAACAGCGGGACACAAUCAAAGAAAAAGAGCAAGAAGGGGUCAAAGAAAAAGGAUGAAACUGCUUCUGCAGAGGAUGGGAUCUUUGAAUCAGUCUAUGCGAAUCUGUGAUGAAUCACUGACUGUAACCUAGUCAGUCUGUUUCUAUUGUAAAAUAUUUAGACUGCCUUAUUAACCUUUUGGUCUGUUGUCAUUGUAUGUACAUUGUAAUCUCUGCUGUUAUACUGUGAAGUGAAACGUGUCAUUUCAUACCUGUGGUUUCAAGGUGCCAGUUGCUAAUAAAUUACAUCAACUAUUUUGUCUGUUUUGGUUU
rnacentral:lncRNA from 1 species